UAAACUGUUCCCUUGGUUUCUUUCUCAACACAAAGGAAACUCUCACUGACUUGACAUGUUCUGGUUUUGAAUUCAGGCUGCAAGGGGUCAUUGCUUGAAAAUGAGUCUCUCUGGGGAGAGAGAGGAGGGCGGCCCUGCCUCUAAAAUGAGUCUCUCUGGGGAACAUGACACCAACGGUAUUAAGAGGAUCCAUUUUGAGACGACAGAGCAGAAAACACUAUAUGGAGAGAACUGAAAAAUAAAGGGUCAGUGCUCUAAAAUGAGUCUCUCUGGGGAGAGAGAGGAGGGGGGCCCUGCCUCUAAAAUGCAUCUCUCUGGGGGACAUGACA